GUGCUUGCUUUGGCAUCACAUAUGCUAAAAUUGGAAUGAUACAGAGAUUAGCAUGCCCCCUGAGCAAGGAUGACAAGCAAAUUGGUGAAGCAUUUCAUGUUUUU